GACGAACGCUGGCGGCGUGCUUAACACAUGCAAGUCGAACGGUGAAGCGCCUUCCUUUUUGGUGGGUGUGGAUGAGUGGCGAACGGGUGAGUAACACGUGAGUAACCUGCCCCCUUCUUCUGGAUAACCGCAUGAAAGUGUGGCUAAUACGGGAUAUUCUGGGUCUGUCGCAUGAUGGGUCUGGGAAAGAUAUUGUUUCGGUGGGGGAUGGGCUCGCGGCCUAUCAGCUUGUUGGUGGGGUGAUGGCCUACCAAGGCGGUGACGGGUAGCCGGCCUGAGAGGGUGGACGGUCACACUGGGACUGAGACACGGCCCAGACUCCUACGGGAGGCAGCAGUGGGGAAUAGUGCACAAUGGGCGCAAGCCUGAUGCAGCGACGCCGCGUGAGGGAUGGAGGCCUUCGGGUUGUGAACCUCUUUCGCCGGUGAAGCAGGCCUGCCUCGUUUGUGGGUGGGUUGACGGUAGCUGGAGAAGAAGCGCCGGCUAACUACGUG
rnacentral:rRNA from 1 species